rnacentral:rRNA from 1 species
GACGAACGCUGGCGGCGUGCUUAACACAUGCAAGUCGAACGGUGAAGCGCCUUCCUUUUUGGUGGGUGUGGAUGAGUGGCGAACGGGUGAGUAACACGUGAGUAACCUGUCCCCUUCUUCUGGAUAACCGCAUGAAAGUGUGGCUAAUACGGGAUAUUCUGGGUCUGUCGCAUGAUGGGUCUGGGAAAGAUAUUGUUUCGGUGGGGGAUGGGCUCGCGGCCUAUCAGCUUGUUGGUGGGGUGAUGGCCUACCAAGGCGGUGACGGGUAGCCGGCCUGAGAGGGUGGGCCGUCACAGUGGGACUGCGACACGGCCCAGACUCCUACGGGAGGCAGCAGUGGGGAAUAUUGAACAGUGGGCGCAAGCCUGAUGCAGCGACGCCGCGUGAGGGAUGGAGGCCGGCGGGUUGUGAACCUCUUUCGCCAGUGAAGCAGGCCUGCCUCGUUUGUGGGUGGGUUGACGGUAGCUGGAUAAGAAGCGCCGGCUAACUACGUG